rnacentral:rRNA from 1 species
UACAGAGGGUGCGAGCGUUAAUCGGAAUUACUGGGCGUAAAGCGCGCGUAGGCGGCUUUGCAAGUCGAGUGUGAAAUCCCCAGGCUUAACCUGGGAACUGCACUUGAAACUACGAUGCUGGAGUAUGGCAGAGGGAGGUGGAAUUCCACGUGUAGCGGUGAAAUGCGUAGAGAUGUGGAGGAACACCGAUGGCGAAGGCAGCCUCCUGGGCCAAUACUGACGCUCAUGCACGAAAGCGUGGGGAGCAAACAGG